GUGAAUCAUCGAAUUUUUGAACGCAAAUUGCACUCUCCUCGGAGAGUAUGCCUGUUUGAGGGUCAGCCUAUAAAAGUCGACAUCGUUGCUGCUUCGCGGUGGCGUUCGUCGGAAUUGGGGCCAUCUUAAAUCCUUUUUAUUUAAGCGCCUUAAAAUUUUCUUUUGUUUCAAUGAAGGUUUCUAAUAUCUUUUUCUUUAAACGUUAAAGGUAUGGAUUUUUCUUAGACGU
rnacentral:misc_RNA from 1 species